CCUACGGGGCGCAGCAGUGAGGAAUAUUGGUCAAUGGUCGGGAGACUGAACCAGCCAAGCCGCGUGAGGGAGGAAGGUACAGAGUAUCGUAAACCUCUUUUGUCAGGGAACAAAGGCGGGGACGUGUCCCCGGAUGAGUGUACCUGAAGAAAAAGCAUCGGCUAACUACGUGCCAGCAGCCGCGGUAAUACGUAGGGAGCGAGCGUUGUCCGGAUUUACUGGGUGUAAAGGGUGCGUAGGCGGCUUGGCAAGUCAGUAGGGGAAUCCAUGGGCUUAACCCAUGAACUGCUAUUGAAACUGUCGAG
rnacentral:rRNA from 1 species